rfam:Medicago truncatula strain A17 chromosome 2, whole genome shotgun sequence.
CCUUUUAAUUGGAUUUAGAGUCUGAAAAAAGAAGCUCAUAUAUUUGGUGUUGUCUAUCAGCUUCAUCUCUUGUAACCCACGAGUCUGGAGUUAAAUAUCAGCACAACAUUU